rnacentral:lncRNA from 1 species
UCGUAACUACACAAACGCAUUCCAUGCUCUCUACAGAAUCACUGCAGAUGAAGGAGUUUUAGCUCUCUGGAAAGGUGCGGGUCCCACUGUAGUUAGGGCAAUGGCAUUGAACAUGGGCAUGCUUGCUUCCUAUGAUCAAAGUGUUGAGUUCUUCAAAGACAAUCUUGGCUUUGGUGAAGCUGCUACAAUUGUAGGUAAGAUCAAAUCAUAAAACCACAAAACCAUAAAACCAUAAAAGUAUAAAACUAUAAAAAUAUGAAAACAGAAGUUUAUGAUUUUGGGAAUGAUUUCAGGGGCGAGUUCUAUAUCUGGGUUCUUUGCUGCUGCGUGUAGUUUACCCUUUGACUUUGUGAAAACACAAAUACAGAAGAUGCAACCUGAUGCUACAGGGAAAUACCCGUAUACAGGAUCUCUAGAUUGUGCCAUGAAAACACUCAAAGCUGGAGGACCUUUCAGAUUCUACACAGGGUUUCCAGUAUACUGUGUUAGGAUUGCGCCACAUGUCAUGGUUUGUAUUUGUACUCGUUUCUUUCUCAUUUUUAUAACUGAAAAGUCAAAGGGUGUUUUUUUUUAUUAUAUGUGUGUGUGUGUUUCUGAUUGGUGGAUUUGUGGGGUGACAGAUGACGUGGAUUUUCUUGAACCAAAUUCAGAAGCUGGAGAAGAAGGCUGGAUUAUAAUUUUUUUUAAUUUAGUGGGAAGAUUAUGAGGAAAUAAUACGACUUUGGCUUUUCUGUGUUGUACUGGUUGCGGAUUUUUGGUUGCUUACACCUUCAAGUGAGUUUAUACUUUUUUGGAAUGAAUGAAAGCUUAGAAUUGUUGUAAUGACAUUUGAAUUGAAGUACAAUUGUUUUAGGGUUGUAGGGGAUUUGAUUAAUCUGGGGUUAGCAAGAAUC